rnacentral:rRNA from 1 species
AUUGAACGCUGGCUGCAGGCCUAACACAUGCAAGUCGAACGUGUCGCUGACGGGUGCGUAAUGUCUGGGAAACUGCCUGCUGGAGGGGGAUAACUACUGCUAACGGUAGCUAAUACCGCAUACCCUCAGAUGUGCCCAGAUGGGAUUGGCUUGUUGGUGGGGUAACGGCUCACCAAGGCGCCGAUCCCUAGCUGGGCUGAGAGGAUGACCAGCCACACUGGAACUGAGACACGGGCAAGACUCCUACGGGAGGCAGCAGUGGGGAAUAUUGCACAAUGGGAGCAAGCCUGAUGCAGCCAUGCCGCGUGUAUGAAGAAGGCCUUCGGGUUGUAAAGGACUUUCAGCGGGGAGGCGUUACCCGCAGAAGAAGCACCGGCUAACGCCGUGCCAGCAGCCGCGGUAAUUC